rnacentral:tRNA from 1 species
GCUCGCGUAGCUCAGUAGGUAGAGCGCAUCCUUGGUAAGGAUGAGGUCACCGGUUCGAAUCCGGUCGUGAGCU